AAUCUUAAAAAAAAAAAAAAAAGAAGAAGACCUUCCAGUCUACCUAAUACAUGAUCUCUGGAGUUCUGAGA